rnacentral:rRNA from 1 species
UACGUAGGGUGCGAGCGUUGUCCGGAAUUAUUGGACGUAAAGAGCUCGUAGGCGGUCUGUCGCGUCGGCUGUGAAAACCCGGAGCUCAACUCCGGGCCUGCAGUCGAUACGGGCAAACUGGAGUGUUGCAGGGGAGACUGGAAUUCCUGGUGUAGCGGUGAAAUGCGCAGAUAUCAGGAGGAACACCGGUGGCGAAGGCGGGUCUCUGGGCAACAACUGACGCUGAGGAGCGAAAGCGUGGGGAGCGAACAGG